rfam:Triticum aestivum genome assembly, contig: Triticum_aestivum_CS42_TGACv1_scaffold_593550_7BS
AUUCUACUCCCUCCGUUGCACAAUACAUGCCUUCUAUUUGUCAAAAUAUAUAUGUGUAUCUAGACAUGUUUUAGUAUAUAGGCACAUCCAUUUUUGGACAAAUGGAAGUCAAGUAUUUUGGAACGGAGGGAGUACAUA